rnacentral:rRNA from 1 species
GACGAACGCUGGCGGCGUGCUUAACACAUGCAAGUCGAACGAUGAACCCGGAGCUUGCUCCGGCGGAUUAGUGGCGAACGGGUGAGUAACACGUGAGAAACCUGCCCUUGACUCUGGGAUAACUGCGGGAAACUGUAGCUAAUACCGGAUACGACCCUCGGCGGCAUCGCCAGGGGUGGAAAGAAUUUCGGUCAAGGAUGGAUCGGCGGCCUAUAAGCUAGUUGGUGAGGUACCGGCUCCCCAAGGCGACGACGGGUAGCCGGCCUGAGAGGGUGACCGGCCGCACUGGGACUGAGGCACGGCCCAGACUCCUACGGGAGGCAGCAGUGGGGAAUAUUGCACAAUGGGCGCAAGCCUGAUGCAGCAACGCCGCGUGAGGGAUGACGGCCUUCGGGUUGUAAACCUCUUUUAGUAGGGAAGAAGCGAAAGUGACGGUACCUGCAGAAAAAGCACCGGCUAACUACGUGCCAGCAGCCGCGGUAA